UAACCGGCGUAAACAAUUUUUAAUUCUGAUUAGUUGGCACCAUUUAACCGCGAUUAGUUGAAACGAAGAAAAUUUUGUUGCACUAAGGUAAAAAUCGAAAAAUAACGCUGGUUAAACUAAUCGACGUAAAAGAUUUUUAACAGGCCAUUCACGGGGAAUUAAAUCUAACUAACGCCGGUUAGGUACCUACUGAUAGCUGUCUUCCAAUUAGUUUUUGGU